rnacentral:rRNA from 1 species
AUGACGGUACCUNACGAAUCANCAUCGGCUAACUCCGUGCCAGCGGCCGCGGUAAUACGGGGGAUGCAAGCGUUAUCCGGAAUUAUUGGGCGUAAAGCGUCCGCAGGUGGUUUANCAAGUCUGCUGUUAAAGGAUGGGGCUUAACUCCAUAUCGGCNGUGGAAACUGNGCGACUAGAGUACGGUAGGGGUNGCGGGAAUUCCCAGUGUAGCGGUGAAAUGCGUAGAUAUUGGGAAGAACACCAGNGGCGAAGGCGCGCUGCUGGGCCUGNACUGACACUGANGGACGAAAGCUAGGGGAGCGAAAGGGAUUAGAUACCCCUGUAGUCCUAGCUGUAAACGAUGNNUACUAGGUGUUGCNCGUAUCGACCCGNGCAGUGCCGUAGCUAACGCGUUAAGUNNCCCGCCUGGGGAGUACGCACGCAAGUGUGAA